rfam:Triticum urartu cultivar G1812 contig1054670, whole genome shotgun sequence.
GUGCUAAUCCCUCCGUCCGGAAAUACUUGUCCUAGAAAUGGAUGUAUCUAGACUUAUUUUAGUUAUAGAUACAUCCAAUUUAUCCAUUUUGGGAACAAAUAUUUCCGGACGGAGGGAGUACCUA